rnacentral:tRNA from 1 species
AUUUAUAUAGUUUAUAUAAAACAUUAUAUUUUCACUAUAAAAAAAGAAUUUUUCUUAUAAAUA